rnacentral:lncRNA from 1 species
CACGUGGAAAAAUGAAAGAAGACUCACAUAACCCAACGUUACACUGACUGUGGAGUGACAGCGUGAGGCCAGCUUGGUGUUGGAGAAGGGGCAGACACACACCGAGGGAAGACGAUGGAGAUCCCAGAAACGGACGCACACAAAUAUGGCUCAUGGAUUAUUGACCAAGGCCUCCCUGGAUGGAUGUUGGGAGAGUUUACGCGUGGCCUUGUGGGAUCGCUGUGGCGGACUCUCAGCUAUCAGAGGGCUCCAUCACUCCAUCGUAAGGAGGCAGCUGGUGGCGAGUCCUGAGCAGGGAUGUGAUCCGACGGGCAGGCGGCGCCCGGGACAGAAGCUGACGUCACACAGGUGAGUCCCCCACCUCCCCACAGGCUUCCUCCACCCCCUCGGCAGCCCAGCAGGGCCUGUCAAUCAGUGGGACCUGGUCAGCUGGCUGCUAGGGGACCUCAGGCAGGGGGGCUUGUCCGCAGGGCCUCCAGCAAGGGGGGACAUUCAUGACACCCAGCAGGGCUCAAGAAGGUGAGACAGAGGGACACUGAACCCAGCCCUUUACAGAAGACCUGAGUCCACCGAGGAAGGGGGCCAACCCCCUCCCCGCGUCUGCAUCCCCAGGACCACCCCGGGUGGAGAGGGCCGAGUGUGGUGCCUCCGCGGGUGCUCUGACGAUCGUCUCGAGCCACGGGGGUGACAGUGACAAGGACCUGUGUGCACGUUAGUGGGGCAGCCAGGCCUAGCUGGAGAAGAAACACACACACGCACACGUUCACCCACAUACACGUGCACACACAUGCUGCCAGUUCAGGGGGUGGAGGACGCUGACUCCAGGCCCAGCUGACCUGCGCGGGGCCCUAUUGUGAUGUGUGCAGCCACCCCAUGACGUCACCGGUGCCAAGUGCCGGCUGUGUGCGGAGCAGUUGGAGACACAGUGGGUGUCCGAGGGGGGGCUCUGCGUCCGGAGGUGAGAGGUGGGUCUCAACACAGCUGCCCUCCCCCAUGGUAUGGUGACAGUCACUAACAGGUGGCCUGCGCUGGCCUCCACGUGGCUGCCAAGGGCCAUCCCUGAGCACUCAGCGGGUGCCUGUUCCACACGGACUAUGAAAAUGACUGUCUCGUUCACCUCACGGCGACCCCGUGGGGUGGAUACGAACUCACGCCAUUUGACAGGCGAGACGUCCGAGGUCAGAGGGGAGGAGACGGACCCGACCUUCCUUGGCUGUGCUCUCCAGCCCUGUCCUGUGCUGGACCCAACCUAACCUCUGCAGCCUCCCUGCCCUGGACACAAAUCUGGCUGAGACCCCAGACCCUGAUGGGGCAGAGCCUGGCACUGGAGGAGCCACCAGGAUGGGCCCCUGUGGGUGUGGGCAGAGGGUGAUCCUCAGUUCAGGUUUUUGCCAGAAGAUGGGUUCCUGCAGGAGGGGGUCUCAGCAGCUCAGACUUCAGAUGCGCUCACUGCUGCUCACUGUGGGACAGCCAGACACGGAGCCCUCUGUUCUCCAGCAGUUGUGG